GGGUUUAGGUGAGGUGUAAGGAGAGGAAAUGAUGGGAUUUAGCUUAAAUUAUGGGAUAGGAAUUUGGCUUUUCACACUUGAGUCCUUUUCUUAAGGUUAGGUCACUAGAGGCUAUAAAUAGGAGAGUAUGGAACCCUUGGCAUUCUUUUCCUUGUGGCUGCCUAAAAUUAGAGAGAAGGAGAGAGAGAGAGAGGCGUGAAAGAGAGAGAAAGUGAAGGAGAAAGGAAGAAGAAGAAGGAUGUCCUAGGGUAUUCAAGGGUGAUUAUCACUUGGGUGUUGAUCAAGUUGUGUUCUUGAUUUUACAAUCAAGAGAGGCUCGUUGAGAAGUUGUGGUUUUACUUAGCUUGGACCUGAGAUAGCAAAUAAGUUUCUCUAUGGCACGUUUGGUGAUGUGGGGAGUUCUGUCAUCCUGGUGUGUAUGUCAUGGGGCAUCCUAUGGAUGAAAAAUGCAAUCAUGUCUAGCUCAAAUCCUGUAUCUUCUUUACUUGCUCAUGAAAAGUUGACUGGUGAAAACUACAUGUAAUGGAAAUCAAACUUGAACAUUGUAUUAAUAUGUAAGAAUCACAAAUUUUUCUUGACUGAGGAAUGUCCUGAAGUGCCUCCCGCAACUGCUACCAAAACUCAAAGGGAAAAGUUUGAUAAUUGGAUCUUAUCAAACAACAAAACAAAGUGUUAUAUGCUUGCAAGUAUGAUCGAUGUGCUCAGAAAGAAGUUUGAAGACACUGAGACUGCUUAUGAUAUCUGGGAUUCCCUUCAAGAUAUGUUUGGGUAGCAGUCAGAUCAGUGCAGGCAUGAGGCCACCAGAUCCGACAUGACCAAGAAAAUGAAGAAAGAAGUUUCUACCAUAGAAUAUGUACUAGACAUGAUAAAUAUAAUGCACGAUGCCAUUAUACAUGGGGCAACCAUUGAUGAAAGGACGCAAGUGAGCAUUAUACUUGAAUCGAUUUCUCUAGCUUUCAAUGGUUUCACAACCAACUAUGUCAUGAACAAAUUAUCAUAUAACAUGACACAGUUGUUGAAUGAAUUGCAAACUUAUGAAUCUCUCAACAAAUGUUCUGAUAAACUAGGAGAAGCAAAUGUUGCUAAUUCUAACCCAUCCUCUUCAAAGCCUAAAACUAAAAAGAGGAAAAAUGGAAAUGAAAAAGACAAGAAUUCAAAGAAGCCUAAAAAGUCAUCCAAAGGCAAAUAGAACAAGAACACCAAAAGCUCCAAAAAGAAGACUCCUAAAGGGACUUGUUUUCACUAUGGAGGAGAUGGUCACUGGAAGAGAAACUGUCCAAAGUAUCUCGCUGACCUAAAAGAGAAAAAUAAAGAUUCUUAGUUUGACGAGGAAGCUUGCUGAUAGAGAGGUGACUAUAAGGGUAGGCAGUUGUCCAAUUGUCUCUGCAACAGCAGUUGGAAUAGCCUGUCUGGAAUUGAAGAAGUAUAAAUUUCUUUUUUUAGAGAACGUUUAUUAUAUUCCUAGAUUUUCUAGAAAUUUAAUUUCUGUUUCUAUGUUUCAUGAACAAGGUUUUAAAAUUUCUUUGAAUAAUAAUUAGAUUUUUAUUUAAUGAUAUGGUAUUAAGAUAUGUUCUGCAAAUUCUA